GCAUCGGUGGUUCAGUAGUAGAAUUCUCGCCUGCCACGCGGGGGUCCCGGGUUCAGUUCCCGGCCGAAGCA
rnacentral:tRNA from 1 species